rnacentral:rRNA from 1 species
AGCUUGACUGCGAGCGUGACGGCGCGAGCAGGUGCGAAAGCAGGUCAUAGUGAUCCGGUGGUUCUGAAUGGAAGGGCCAUCGCUCAACGGAUAAAAGGUACUCCGGGGAUAACAGGCUGAUACCGCCCAAGAGUUCAUAUCGACGGCGGUGUUUGGCACCUCGAUGUCGGCUCAUCACAUCCUGGGGCUGAAGUAGGUCCCAAGGGUAUGGCUGUUCGCCAUUUAAAGUGGUACGCGAGCUGGGUUUAGAACGUCGUGAGACAGUUCGGUCCCUAUCUGCCGUGGGCGCUGGAGAACUGAGGGGGGCUGCUCCUAGUACGAGAGGACCGGAGUGGACGCAUCACUGGUGUUC